GAUUUGAGUAUUCAUUGAACUGAAAGAACAAAUCGCCUACUUCAGGCGGUGGCAAGCGUAUGGAAAUUAUAUUAGAACUUCAGCAAAGUGCACAGCUGCAUAAUAGAGAAGCCGGCACUCAGAUUGACAGGCAAAUAAGCCAGCUUGUGGAAGGGGCCUCUGGGUGGCAGCUCUGGGCUUUUGGGUGUUGGACAACCAUAGGCAAAACUGAAAUGGAACAGGGGCAGAAAAUAGCACACUUUUACUCUACGCAACUGUUGCUUUUUCAUGAUCUUCAGGAAUUUUACUGGGAUAAUUAUCCAAAUAAAUUGCAAGCAUUCUAUCCAAAUGGAGCUCUUUCUGAGAUGAAGAGAAUUCUCAAUGUCAAGAUUUGAACAAGAAGAGAAUGGAAUACACAAUAUGGACAUCCAUAAAAAUUCAUCAGAGAGCAUUUUACUACUGAGCUGCAAAGGGAAAAACUUAAAAUGGAUAUGAAAAGUGAAGAAAGUGAUCAUAGGAGAAAACCAUUUCAGAUAUCUGUGGAUAUCUCUCCAGAACUUCAUGUAUAUAUGACAAGAGCACCUCAAAGGCAGCAGCCUCAAGGAGCAGCCAUGGCCCCAGACUUGUCGCACGGAUGCAGAAAACUUAAUGGAGGAGGCUGAGGAACUCUUCCAGACUCUGGGAAAUAUGUCUCCAAGAAAGCAGACAAUACCCCUGCCCUCUGUGGAAGACUGACAAAUAUACAAGUGCAUAUGUAUAUAUAGACUGUCAGAUGAUUGUCCUUUGCUAUCCAGGAUAUAACAGCUGGUUCCAGAUAACAUGUCAAAUCAGGAGCUUUAGAAAAUACUGAUGCCUGGCUCUCAACCAGAGAGAACUGAACUGAAUUGGUCUGGUGAAUUCAUUAAAAGAGCUAACAACAAUGAAGUUAAUGUACGCAUCUCACCUCUCAAGAGUAUUAACAGGCCAGGCGUGUUGGCUCAUACCUGUAAUCCCAGCACUUUGGGAGGCCAAGGCGGGCGGAUCACCCAAGAAUGGGAUAACUGCCUGGCACUCACCAAGCUACACUUGAAGAGGAUCAAUCCAUGUCAUCAUGUCCCCAAUUUCAUAGCACCAAGUAUUUUGUUUAUUCACAAAUGCCCUAUUAUGGACAUCUAGCAAACAAUGAUACAUCAGAAAAGGAGAUGUGCAUAAAUUUUCAUGGAAUAAGGUUGUGGAAAAUGCACUAGAAUCAACAAACAUGGGGACUAAUUCAACUCGGAUAUCAUGUCUUCAGAGAAGUUUCUCCUGCCCUCCUCUCCCUGUAGAAUUAAGUAUUCUUCCACUGUGCCACCCUCUAACUUGUGCUCAUAUCUUCCUCUAUUGUAGUUAUGUGUUCACAUCCCUGUUGUUUUUGUACCGGCUUCUCCCAAAGGGAGACAUUUAGUCUUAUUCUUCUUGGUAACUUUAGCACAGACCUGGCAGAUUGUUGACACUCAACAAAUGUUUAUUGACUCAAAUGCAUUCAGUUGAACAUUGACCUUUGAUCAACUCUGGGAAAAGUCUGCAAAGCUAGUUAGGACAUUCAGAAAUUCAUUUCAUUUCAAUCCUAACUAAAUAAAUUAUUGAAGUCUCAGAA
ensembl:lncRNA MIR99AHG mir-99a-let-7c cluster host gene